UACGGAGGGAGCUAGCGUUGUUCGGAAUUACUGGGCGUAAAGCGCGCGUAGGCGGCUUUGUAAGUUAGAGGUGAAAGCCCGGGGCUCAACCCCGGAAUUGCCUUUAAGACUGCAUCGCUUGAAUCCGGGAGAGGUGAGUGGAAUUCCGAGUGUAGAGGUGAAAUUCGUAGAUAUUCGGAAGAACACCAGUGGCGAAGGCGGCUCACUGGACCGGUAUUGACGCUGAGGUGCGAAAGCGUGGGGAGUAAACAGG
rnacentral:rRNA from 1 species